GGCGUCCACGGAGUCGCCAGCGUCCGUUUCGGACGGCUCAUGUUGUGUAGCGGUUGGGUUGGACUAUGAGUUCGGAUUUUUCUUGUUUAAAAACGCAAGAUGUAUCAUGUGAAUGUCCUCCAACAGUGACAGCUGGCAGGGAAGAUGCCUGCAACAUUUCUGCUCUGCUUCUUGGUGUAGGAACUAUUCGAGCGUCCGAACGCCUCGUACCCAAUGCCCGGUCUACGGCUGCCGACAGACACUGAGCUCCAGUCCCCGGUAGCAGUCCCCUUUGAAAAAAUAAACGUGUUUCGAUGCCAGAGCUAACUGGUGGGUGCACAUGGUUCCUUCGUAUGUUCUUCCUUUGAAAAAAUAAACGUGUUUUGAUGCCAGAGCUGACUGAUGGGUGCACAUGGUUCCUUCGUAUGUUCUUCCUUUGAAAAAAUAAACGUGUUUUGAUGCCAGAGCUGACUGAUGGGUGCACAUGGUUCCUUCGUAUGUUCUUCCUUUGAAAAAA